CCUACGGGUGGCAGCAGUGGGGAAUAUUGCACAAUGGGGGAAACCCUGAUGCAGCGACGCCGCGUGAGUGAAGAAGUAUCUCGGUUUGUAAAGCUCUAUCAGCAGGGAAGAAAAUGACGUUACCUGAUCACGAAUCCCCGGCUAACUACGUGCCAGCAGCCGCGGUAAUACGUAGGGGGCAAGCGUUAUCCGGAUUUACUGGGAGUAAAGGGAACGUAGACGGCAGCACAAGUCUGGAGUGAAAUGCCGGGGGUUAACCCAGGAACUGCUUUGGAAACUGUGCAGCUAGAGUGUAGGAGAGGGAAGUGGAAUUCCUGGUGUAGCGGUGAAAUGCGUAGAUAUUAGGAGGAACACCAGUGGCGAAGGCGGCUUACUGGACUGUAACUGACGUUGAGGCUCGAAAGCGUGGGGAGCAAACAGGAUUAGAUACCCUUGUAGUC
rnacentral:rRNA from 1 species